GAAAUGCGAUAAGUAAUGUGAAUUGCAGAAUUCAGUGAAUCAUCGAAUCUUUGAACGCACCUUGCGCUCCUUGGUAUUCCUUGGAGCAUGCCUGUUUGAGUAUCAUGAAAUCUUCAAAGUAAAUCUUUUGUUAACUCAAUUGGUUUCUACUUUGGUAUUGGAGGUCUUUGCAGCUUCACAUCUGCUCCUCUUUGUUCAUUAGCUGGAUCUCAGUGUUAUGCUUGGUUCCACUCGGCGUGAUAAGUUAUCUAUCGCUGAGGACACUGUAAAAGGUGGCCAAGGUAAAUGCAGAUGAACCGCUUCUAAUAGUCCAUUGACUUGGACAAUACUUUUAUGAUCUGAUCUCAAAUCAGGUAGGACUACCCGCUGAACUUAAGC
rnacentral:misc_RNA from 1 species